rnacentral:rRNA from 1 species
UACAGAGGUCCCAAGCGUUGUUCGGAUUCAUUGGGCGUAAAGGGCGCGUAGGCGGCCAUCUAAGUCAGACGUGAAAUCCCUCGGCUCAACCGAGGAACUGCGUCUGAUACUGGAAGGCUUGAAUCCGGGAGAGGGAUGUGGAAUUCCAGGUGUAGCGGUGAAAUGCGUAGAUAUCUGGAGGAACACCGGUGGCGAAGGCGGCAUCCUGGACCGGUAUUGACGCUGAGGCGCGAAAGCUAGGGGAGCAAACGGG